UUGAUUUUCAAGGAUUUUAAGGUGAGAAGAUGAUCUCUCAGUUUCCUGAGGCUACCAGGCCUGCUGAUUGCUGCCAUGUCUCCCUGCCAUGAGGACUCUUAUUCUACUGGAACCAUAAUCAAGUAUAAACUCUUCUUUCUUUAAGUUGCUUUUGUCCAUAGUAUUUUUUCACAGUAGUAGAAAAGUAAAUGAUACAUAUUCUGUAGAUGUUUGAAUGAAAAUGGCUCUCAUAGACUCAUGUAUUUUAAUAUUUGGCCCCCAGUUUGUUGAA
rnacentral:lncRNA from 1 species